GUUUCUAUAGUUGAAUUA
rnacentral:tRNA from 2 species